rnacentral:rRNA from 1 species
ACGUAGGUGGCUAGCGUUGUCCGGAUUUACUGGGCGUAAAGCGCGCGCAGGCGGUCGUUCAAGUCGAGUGUGAAAGCCCCCGGCUCAACUGGGGAGGGUCACUCGAUACUGAUCGACUUGAAGGCAGAAGAGGGAAGCGGAAUUCCCGGUGUAGUGGUGAAAUGCGUAGAUAUCGGGAGGAACACCAGUGGCGAAGGCGGCUUUCUGGUCUGUUCUUGACGCUGAGGCGCGAAAGCUAGGGUAGCAAACGGGAUUAGAUACCCCGGUAGUCCUAGCCGUAAACGAUGGACACUAGGUGUUGGCGGUAUCAACCCCGCCAGUGCCGAAGCUAACGCAUUAAGUGUCCCGCCUGGGGAGUACGGCCGCAAGGCUA